UUUUUUUUUUUUUUUUUUUUUUUUUUUUGGUCUUUUUGACUUUUUUUAGGGCUGCACCCACAGCAUAUGGAGGUUGCCAACCUUGUUGGCGGCCAGCAGAUAGUGGUAGGGGGUGGGGGAUAGAAGGGGUCUUUAAAGCAGUUUCAGAUCAGGGUGGGGUGUGGACAAGGUCCAUUUCAGGCUCCUAGCUUCUGUGGUUGGCCUGUCACACACCACUGCUGUCACUACAGUCAUCUGAAUCCCCGAUGUCUGGCCAAGGCAGAGGAUUUGAAAUGCCAGGGGGUAGCUGGGAACUGUGGGGCUGGAGGUGGGGGGCAGGGGUAGGAGAUGGGAGUGGGGGGUGAGGUCACGUCUAAGUGUGAAGCAGACCAGGAGAAGGCCGCGGGGGCUCCAGCCCGCCCCCCUCUCACAAAAGCCCCCCUCCUGGGAUUCUUCAACAAAUACCCUGGCACAGGUGAAGCGCUAACGUGGUCUCUGCCCAUCCAUAACCAGCGGCCUCUUAUUGUUAUUAUUCUCUUAUUAUUUUGAAGAGAAUUAGGCUGCUACAGAAAACGUGUGGAAAACACUGCCCCCAGAUGUCCCAAAGGAGGUGACUCGGGUUCUGGCAGGGGCUGCCAGCAAGGGCCAGGGGCCAGCCCUUCCCAGCCCAAGGCAGGGCGCUUCAAUGGAAUCAGCCUGGGUUUGGCAACAGCAUCGUGGCAUCCAAGCGCCUGGCUGCAAUCCUUCCUCCACUGAGUCAGACUCACAGACGGAAGACUCAGAAAGCUGAAAGCGACCUCAUGAAUUUCCCUGUCUGUGCCCUUAUUUCACAGAUGAGGACACUGUGGUCUGGCGGGGGGGGGGGGGGCCUAGCUGGCCCCAGGUCGCAUACCUUUGUGGCAGCCAAAACAUGGGCUUGGAGCCCAAAUUCCAGGUCACGGCACCGUGUUUUUCAACUCCACAGAAAGGCACGUAUUGACGGGUUAGCUACCGUAUAGAUGAAGCGACGUGAUGACAGUUCCUGACGUCAAGGAAUUGGAACUUCAGUGGGAAAUACAGACAUGAAGCGAGUACGCGGAUAACGAAAAUGGAAGCGGGGAUGAGAUCCCUAAGGCGUAAUGCAAGGAGCGUAAAUGCACUGCCUUCGAUGUAUCUUCCCCCCAAAGCGCAACCAUCAGCACCACAAUCAGGUGAUCCCAACGGCGAAGGGUCACCCUGGAAAACUGGGGGAUGAGCCUGGGUGAUCUUUCAGUGAUGAAGGGAAAUUUCAUGCGGCUGCAGUCUGCAACCCAGAGAGGGCUUCGGUUCUUUAUCGGAAGCACAGUCUGAGACAAGGGACCUGGAGAAGAAAUGUCACGUGACUCUACUAAGGUGCUAGACCAAAGGAUUGGCCAUUGAAGGAAAGAAUGACUCUAGCCCCGAGUCCUUUCUUGGACCAGGAGGAAAGAGCCACUGCGGGGUGGGUCAAGCCAAGCAUGACCGGGAUCCUGCAGGGGCGGCAGCACCGCUGCCACGAAGGCCCUGAAACUGGCUCCAGGCACCAGCAGGACACGCUCCAGAGAGCAGAGGCCCUCUGCUGAGUAAACCGGAGAGCUCCACGGGGCAGAGAAUGAAUGAAUGCAGGCUUCUGUUUCAACCGCUGGCUAGCAAAGAAAGAACACGCGGAAAUGUGCACAGAGAGAGAUUCGCGUUUUAUCUCAGCGUCGGAUCAGUGUUGACACUUUGAAUGGCAAAUUGCUAGGCGAGCUGGGCAAGUUACUCUUCGGGGAGAUGCUUCUCCCACCAUGGGCACUCUCAUUUCAAGGGUUUCUGCUUUUCUCCUCUACUUUCAAGGGAAAAACGCAAGCAUAGAGGAGUUCCCGUCGUGGCGCAGUGGUUAACGAACCCAACUAGGAACCAUGAGGUUGCGGGUUCAAUCCCUGGCCUUGCUCAGUGGGUUAAGGAUCUGGUGUUGCUGUGAGCUGUGGUGUAGGUCGCAGACGAAGCUCAGAUCCCGUGUUGCUGUGGCUCUGGCGUAGGCUGGUGGCUACAGCUCCGAUUCGACCCUAGCCUGGGAACCUCCAUAUGCUGCAGGUGCGGCCCUAAAAAGCCCCCCCCCCCCGCCAAGAAAAAAGACCAAAAAGAAAAAAACGCAAGCGUGGAAUCUGAAACCUGAGGUGCCAGUGAUCAUCAUGGAAGCUUCGCAUGUGGUAAGUUACCACUUAAGAGAAUUUCCUAAAACAGACUCAUGUCUGUAGCCCAUGAGCAGAGAAUUCUAUUGUAUCAGGAAGUCGGGCUCUUUUAACCAUAAUGAUAAGGACCGAAAGAGGUACGCCAUUCUAUCUGAUGCACAGAGCCUUCUGGAAGAAAAAACAAAACCCAGUCACUUACAAGGUGGCUGAGAUCACUACUGAAAAAGGUGUUUCCAGAAGUUUCCAUACCACUGCAAAGCGGACUAAACUGAAAACAUACUUUGGGACAGAAAAACAGGAGCAAGACAUAUUUUCAGACAGAAAAACAGGAGCAACCGUCAAAGUGUCAGCAGAAUGCAGUAGGAUUCAGGCCACAGCAGUAACCAAACCAGUGUCUGGACCACCUGCCUGUUGCUCUCUGCUCAUCCUUUCAAAACCACUAAAGGUGCUUAUUUUCGUUAAAGGCAUCGAAUUUAGGAUUUUUAAAAAAUUUUCUUAAUGUAUUCAGCUCAAAACUCACAUUCAUACCUGCCAACUCUGAUGGGGGAGAAAUAAUUUAUCACAAUCACACCAUGCUGUACAAGUCCACGGCAGCAACUACCACUAAGGCUCGAUGGAAUCGCCCUCCUUGAAAGUUAUUAAUUAGUAAUAGUCCACAUGCCCCUCAGACCCUCAGGAUCUGGUUAAGGAACCUCAGCUGUACCCUGUUAGCUCAGUAAUUCUGUAAGUGAAUGGAAAAAUGACAACGAUUAAUCUUGGACUCUGUGUUUCAGUGCCUUGAUAGAAGAAAGGACCAAAUGAAAUAGGCUCCAAGCCUCUGGUUUUAUCUCGGGACUUGACAAAAAGAACACUUAUUUUUAUCUCUGUUCACUGCUAUAGCUAGAGCACCUAGUACAGAGUCUGGCAGAGAGUGGGACCCCCUCUCACAAAAAAUGUUUUUUUGGAAUAAACACACAGUCUCAUUAUUAGACAGAAGUGCUGCCAAAACUAAAAAUUCAGGCCCUGAAAAAAAAAUCACUGUUUUAUCAUUCACAUUGAUGUAAUAAAGGAAGGGAGGCAAGAGCAAACCAAACAUCUGCUUUGUUAUUUUUUUUUUCUUGGUAUGGUUUGGUGAGGAUAAUGCAUACCUUUGAUGUUCACUAGUUAUGCGAUUUGGGGCAAAUGACUUGAAUGCCCCUCCUAAGUAUCUAUGGCCUUACAUCGAAAAUAAGGCCCAAGAGAGUGGGAGGGACUGAGAGUUUGGGGUUGGUGGAUGCCAACUAUUGCCUUUAGAAUGGAUCGGCAAUGAGGUCCUGCUGGACAGCACAGGGAACUAGAUCCAAUCUCUUGGGAUAGACCAGGAUGGAAGAUACUAUAAGAAAAGGAAUAUAUAUGUAUGUAUGACUGGGUCACUUUGCUGUACCGCAGACAUUGACACAAUACUGUACGUCAGCUACGCUUUAAUUUAAAAAAAGGAAAAAAGGAGUUCCCGUCAUCAUGGCUCAGUGGUUAAUGAAUCCGACUAGGAACCACGAGGUGGCGGGUUCGAUCCCUGGCCUUGCACUGUGGGUUGAGGAUCCGGCAUUGCCGUGAGCUGUGGUGCAGGUCACAGAUGCGGCUCGGAUCCCGCGUGGCUGUGGCUCUGGUGUAGAUCAGCGGCUACAGCUCCGAUUCGACCCCUAGCCUGGGACCCUCCAUCUGCUGCGGGAGCGGCCCCAGAAAAGGCAAAAAGACUAAAUAAAUAAAUAAGGGGGAAAAAAAACCCAAAUAAGGCCAAUAAUGUCUUCCUCACAGUGUCACAGUAAAGAUGAAAUGUGGUCAUACCAUUUCAGAGCCUGGCACGCAACAGAGGUUCUCACAAAUGACGAGGACUCCAGAAAGAGCAUGAGAAAACUUCUCCUGUUCUUCUUGGACUUCAAGCACAGAGCCCAAGUAGAGCUCUGUACCAUCCAUAUCAUUUUUGGCGUUUCUUCCCAGAGAAACCAGUCCAUCACCCAUCCCAGCAAGCCUUCUCUACCCUGAUGGCAGGUUGGAAGUGACCCGCUCAGUGCAACUCUCCAAGACAGGACAUCAGAGCUGCCGGGUGGGGUCCUCCACGUGGCCCUGAACCCGCAGGUCCUGUGCCCUCCAGGAGGGGGCCCAGGUACUUGGGAACCGAAGGACGCCAAAAAGGAUGCAGUUGGGGGUUGGGGAGGGAUAAAUUCGGUGUUUGGGAUUCACAUACGCACACGACCAUAUAUACAAGAGAUAAUCAGCGGGGACCUACUGCAUAGCACAGCAAACAUGACUCAAUAUCCAGUCAUAACCUAUAUGGGAAACGAAUCUGAAAAAGCAUGGAUAUUUGUGUGUGUAUAACCGAAUCACUUUGCUGUCCACCUGAAACUAACACAACACGGCAGGCCGACUAUACUCCAAUAUAAAUCUUUUUUUAACUUUUUUUUUUAAAAAAAGAUGCAGUCAGUACAGAGGGAACAUGAUGCUUCUGAGGCAGGCAUAACACACAGGAGCAUCAGGAAAGGAUGGCUGGCCCCAGUUAGGAGAACAGGACCUCUUCUCGGAGAAGCAUCAUGUAAGUGAAGGGACGUUUGGAAAUAACUUCUACAAGCUGUGAUGCGACAGACAUUUCGAGUGACUAUACACCUAAGCUUUCCAACACUCAGAUCUCAAAUUGGCUGGUUCAUUUGGCCUAAACCGAUAACAUAUGGAUGGUUCUAAAUGCUGUCGAAAGCUUCCAUUUUAAAAGCAACAUAUGUAUUUUUCCAAUAGAGGUUUAACAUUUAAAAAAAAAAAAAGUCACGAAUGAUGUAAUCCGAAGGUCAAUACUCACCAAGCCGAUCAAAAGUAUUUCUUUUCAAGGCGGUGCCCAGCAAGCAGAAGCUGUUCUCAUCUUUACCUCCUAGGUAAGCCAUGUGCUCUUUUAGUCCUAUGUAUAACUUGAAGGAUGGUGCAACCUUUGGGGAGACUCAGUUUCUCCAUCUGUUUCAAAAAGAGCAGAGAGGGAUGGAUCGAGCUAAUUCUAAAACACGAGGCUCCUCUUCUGAAAACAGCAAUCGCUGUUACUUCCCUCUAGGCCAGGAAUUUUAUUACUGCUGAUCUUUUAAGAUGUGGAGUUCCUGUUGUGGCGCAGCGGAAACGAAUCCGGCUAGGAACCAUGAGGUUGCAGGUUCAAUCCCUGACCUCUCUCAGUGGGUUAAGGAUCCGGCAUUGCCAUGAGCUGUGGUGUAGGUCAAAGACAUGGUUUGGAUCUGGCAUUGCUGUGGCUGUGGUGUAGGCCGGUGGCUACAGCUCCGAUUGGACCCCUAGCCUGGGAACCUCCAUAUAUCACGGGUGUGGCCCUAGAAAAGGCACAAAGACCAAAAAAAAAAAAAAAAAAA
rnacentral:lncRNA from 1 species